rnacentral:rRNA from 1 species
AUUGAACGCUGGCGGCAGGCCUAACACAUGCAAGUCGAGCGAGCGGCGGACGGGUGUGUAAGGUCUGGGAAACUCCCGGAUGGAGGGGGUUAACUACUGGAAACGGUAGCUAAUACCGCAUACCAUCAGAUGUGCCCAGAUGGGAUUAGCUAGUUGGUGGGGUAACGGCGCACCUAGGCGACGAUCCCUAUCUGGUCUGAGAGGAUGACCAGCCAAACUGGAAUGGAGACCCGGUCCAGACUCCUACGGGAGGCGGCAGUGGGGAAUAUUGCACAAUGGGCGCAAGCCUGAUGCAGCCAUGCCGCGUGUGUGAAGAAGGCCUUCGGGUUGUAAAGCACUUUCAGCGGGGAGGCGUUACCCGCAGAAGAAGCACCGGCUAACUCCGUGCCAGCAGCCGCGGUAAUAC